UUCAUCCCGUCCCAGUUCUCGUGCCCCUUGCGAUUGAGAGAAAGAGAGAGAAGAAGUUUGAGAUUUGUGAAGAUAGAAGAGAAAGAGGCGGUUAACGCGCGUCAUGGAUAGGUAGUAUGUUUUCCACGGUUGACGGUGAAAGCAAAGUCGGAGUAUUGAUUGUGUGCGGCUUAGUCUUCUGUGUCGGCCGGGAAGAAUUAUGUAGCCAUCAAUCAAAGGUGCUAUUGUUGUUAAGGUGUGAUCACCAAAUCGCUAUGGGAUGUGAAACUCUUGGUGGUUGUUUGCAUGGCACCAGUGGGCAGGGUAGUUACUCAAGGAACAGUUACUAGUGGUUACUGUCUAAUGUAGUGUAGUUGGUGUGGUGAUGGUGGUUGACGGAAGCUAUAUGGUGAUGUGGUGGUUGCGGUUAUCAUAUGGUAACAUGGUAACAUUGACCUUUGCAGUUAUUUUAUUUUUAAUUAUUAUUUAUUUAUUUAUUUUUAAAUUCUUGUUUUUAACUACCCUCUAUAAUUUUUUAAGGAAAUUAUAAAUAUCAAUUAUUCUUAUUUUAUUUAUUUUUUAUUUUUUUAGCAGUUAUAUUAUAAUAGUAUUAUGUUUUUUUUUGUUUUUUUAUUAUGAAUUAAUUAUUAUAAAUUGGUGUAAUUUUGCAUUAAUUAUUUUAUUUAUCAAUUAUUUAUAAUUAUCAUUUAUUUUUCAAUUGGUGAUUUAUAUUUAAUAUUUUCAAAUAUAGUUUUAA